rnacentral:tRNA from 1 species
AGCCCCCUUAACUCAGGGGUAGAGUGACGCCAUGGUAAGGCGUAAGUCGUCGGUUCAAAUCCGACAAGGGGCUA